rnacentral:misc_RNA from 1 species
AAGUCGUAACAAGGUUUCCGUAGGUGAACCUGCGGAAGGAUCAUUAAUGAAAUGUAAGGACGCUCUAUUUAGAGGUCCGACCCAAUUCAUUUUCUCACACUGUGCACGCUACUACCUUUACACCAAUUUUAACACUUACAGUCUAAGAAUGUAAACGGUCUCUUAAUUGAGCAUAAAAUUAAAACAAAACUUUCAGCAACGGAUCUCUUGGCUCUCC